UCGGGCGAAGGCUGGUGAGCACGGACUCGGUGGGGCCGAAGGGCCUGUUUCCGCGCUGUUAUCUCUGAAGUAAGAAGGGAAUAGUUGAAGCAGGGAGCGGAGGGCGAGAGUUUGGGGCCUGGUUCAAGAUGGCCGACAUUUGGGGCCUGUUUUCAAGAUGGCCGACAUUUGGGGCCUGUUCCAAGAUGGCCGACUUUUGCCUCCUGUUUCCGCGCUGUAUCUCUGAACUGAACCAGUGUGUGUGUGUGUGUACGGGCCGAUCGAUCGCUGGUUGGGCUAGUACGGACUCGGUGGAG